AUGAAGGCAACUGGAAUACCAGAGGAAUGUUCAAAGCCUUUCCCACACUCUUGUCCAGUGUUGACUUCUUGGGAUGAGUUGGCAAUCAAACAUGUGGACUUCUGCAACUAUGUAAAUAUGGUUGGAAGAAUAAGCAGCAGCGUUGGUGUAGGUUCCUGUUCUGUGGAAUACAUAGCAAACUGACAGAAGAAAGUGGGUAAGUGUGGUUCUGGAGAGAUGCUCCUGAGGGAGGGGCCAGUGUGAGAGGGUGAAUUUGGGGCAUAGUUAAUUUGAGAUGUCAGAAUAAUUGCAGACAGAUAUAGAAGAGGAUGUGGGAAAGAGCAGAACCAGAUUGAGGAAGUGUCUAACAGACAGACAUCUAAAAGUGCCAUAUAGACAUGCAGGCAGGAGGUGAAUGCCAACAGAGGAACAGCAGGAGGCUUGUUAGAGAGGCAAUGGAAGCUGGCUAAGCGAUAAGAAAAAAUAAAUGCAGAGGGGAGUGAAUGGGACCUUAUUCC
rnacentral:lncRNA from 1 species